rnacentral:lncRNA from 1 species
GUGUUCAGGGACAAACAAACAGCAUCUGUGCCUUGAAAGGUUCAUCAGUAAAUCUGUCCUGCUCACAUCAACAUCCAACUUCAAGCAUGAACUGGUACAGUGUACACAGGGGGGGCUUGAAGAUUGAGACCUCUGCAGAUGGAAAGUACAGCAUGUCAGCAGAGAGUAACUUGACUCUGACAGUCAACAAUCUAGCAGAGAAUGAUGCAAACAUUUACUGCUGCAGACAACCUGCUGACAAAUCAGACUGCGGCCAAAGGGGAAUUUCUCUCAGUGUUGCAGGUACAGUGGUUUUAUCAAACGCGUGAAGAACCGAUUGUUUUAUGAAUAAUCAGUGUAUUGAUAUUAUUUCUAUUAAUAAUCCUCUCAGAGCUGCAGGUAAAGGUGAUUCCUGCCACAGAGGGACAGACAGUAACACUGAUGUGCAGCAGCAGCUGUCCUCUGACUGAAAAGCCUGCAGCCUACAUCUGGUACAAGAACAGAGAGUUUCUCUAUGAGGACUGGUCUCCCUGGUACCAAGAGCUGCUCAGCAGUGAGGAAGCAGUCACAUACUCCUGUGCUGUCAAAGGUUACGAGGCUCUCAGAGCCCCUGAAGUCUCUGUGGGUGAGUCAUGAUGUUCAGUCAAAUGAUUUUCAGUAAACAUACUCAGUAUGCUAAUAUUUAAUUUCAUCUAGAUUUCAUCACAUCAGCAUGCUUCAAUGUGACCUAUGCUAAAAGGGAAAUGUGUCGUUAUGAGCAGGCAUCAGUAGAUGAGCCUUAUUCCAUCACAUUUCCCAGAGAGGUGUAUAUCGUGAGGACUAGUGGGAACACACUGACCUGCAGCAGCUUGUGUCCUCUGACUGACCCUCAAACUGUCUAUGUGUGGUAUGAAAAUGGAAAACCUUUUAGGGAAAAUCAGCAUCUCAACAAUGAACACAGUUCUUUGAAAAACAACUUUUACUGUGCAAUUAAAGGUCACGAGCAUCUUCAAUCUGAUGAAGUCUGUGAGUAUCAAAGAAAACUGUUAAUUCUGUUAAUUAAUAAAAAGCUGUUAUCUCAACAUGCAGACACCACAGUCAACUUUAAAUCUUCCAUCUAUAUUUCAGGUGUUCAGGAUAAAAACUGCUGGAGAGUGAAUUAUGUCAGCAGGAGAAUCUGUGCUCUGGAAGGAUCUUCAGUCAACAUUAUUAGUAAAUACUCACAUCCUGAUGACAUGAAACCGGAGUUUAAAUUAUGGAUUAAAAAAUGGAGAACAGGUGAUAAGGAACUUGAAAAACCGAUUGAGCCUUCAGGUCGUGUGGAGUAUCACAACAAUGUGAAGAACCAACAUACCCUGACCAUCAAAAACCUGAAGAAGAAUGACUCAGGAGAAUAUACAUUCAUCCUGAAACGACAUGAUAAAGAACUGAAACUGCCUGGAGUCUUUUUGAUUGUCACAGGUAAAGUCUCCUAACAAGGAUUAAGAUGUUUUAUUCCCAAAAAGUUGACUCCGUUCAUCUGGACGUAGCAUUUUCAGUGGGAGAAAGAUCUGAAGAAGUCACUCAUCCAAGUGACUCAUCCAAGUCAAUCUUCCAGAGACUGAUGUGGAUGAAUGAUGAAACAUUUCUCCCUCUGAAAAUGCUACAUCCAGAUGAACACAGUCAACU